rnacentral:rRNA from 1 species
UACGUAGGGUCCGAGCGUUGUCCGGAGUUACUGGGCGUAAAGGGCGCGCAGGCGGCGGUGCUGGCCCGGCGUGAAAGCCCCCGGCUCAACCGGGGAGGGUCGUCGGGGACCGCACCGCUUGAGGGCGGUAGGGGCCGGUGGAAUGCCUGGUGUAGUGGUGAAAUGCGUAGAGAUCAGGCAGAACACCUUGGGCGAAGGCGGCCGGCUGGGCCGUCCCUGACGCUGAGGCGCGAAGGCGUGGGGAGCGAACGGG